GGGGAUGUAAUGGUUUCGACGGGGAUUGUGAGCCUUGGUAAGCGAGCAGCGGUGCGGACCGCUUUAACACCCGCACGUUUAAAAUUAAACGACAAAAAUGUUUCUUACAACCAAAAUUCUUAUAGAAUGGCGGUUGCAGCCUAACAAUUAGACUGCCGUCUUUACCGGGAGUACCGCGGCUCGGAUAAAGGCGUAGAUUAGCGGUGAACGUGAACCGGGCGACGCCUUUGACCCGGUCAUGACGUAAAGGCUGCCAAUGCGCAGAGCCUGCCGAUGGGCGCUGCGCGUGCGGGACAAUAUAAAUCAUCGGAUACGCUCGUAGAAAGCCCUGGCAAGUGAUUUUCGGACAGGGGUUCGACUCCCCUCAUCUCCACCA
rnacentral:tmRNA from 1 species